GACCUCGCGUAUUUCCUUGUACACAAGAGGAUGCCGCCUCGUCAAAAGAUAAAACAUGCAGGUGCUUCUUCAGAAGCUGGAACUCCCGUGUUAGAUGAAGGAAUUGGCUUUGAUU